CCUACGGGAGGCAGCAGUAGGGAAUAUUGGACAAUGGAGGAAACUCUGAUCCAGCCAUGCCGCGUGAUAGAUGAAGGCCCUCUGGGUUGUAAAUAUCUUUUAUCUGGGAAGAAACAAUCUUAUUCUUAAGAUCUUGACGGUACCAGAGGAAUAAGCACCGGCUAACUCCGUGCCAGCAGCCGCGGUAAUACGGAGGGUGCAAGCGUUAUCCGGAUUCACUGGGUUUAAAGGGUGCGUAGGCGGGCUGAUAAGUCAGUGGUGAAAGCUCCGAGCUUAACUUGGAAACUGCCAUUGAUACUGCCAGUCUUGAAUGUCGUAGAGGUAAGCGGAAUGUUGCAUGUAGCGGUGAAAUGCUUAGAUAUGUUACAGAACACCAAUUGCGAAGGCAGCUUACUAUGCGAUGAUUGACGCUGAGGCACGAAAGCGUGGGGAGCAAACAGGAUUAGGAUACCCUGGUAGUCCACGCCCUAAACGAUGAUUACUCGAUGUUGCGAUACACUGUCAGCGUCUUAGCGAAAGCGUUAAGUAAUCCACCUGGGGAGUACGCUCGCAAGAGUGAAACUCAAAGGAUUGACGG
rnacentral:rRNA from 1 species